GAAGGCUGAAAUUCGCCUUCAUGAAGCCGGAAUUGCUAGUAAUGGCAGGUCAGCAUACUGCCGUGAAUACGUUCCCGGGCCUUGUACACACCGCCCGUCACACCAUGAGAGUUGGGGAUACCCGAAGCCUGUGAGCUAACAGUAAUGGAGCAGCAGUCGAAGGUAGAAUCAAUGAUUGGGGUGAAGUCGUAACAAGGUAUC
rnacentral:rRNA from 1 species